rnacentral:rRNA from 1 species
UACGUAGGGGGCUAGCGUUGUCCGGAAUCAUUGGGCGUAAAGCGCGUGUAGGCGGCCCGGUAAGUCCGCUGUGAAAGUCCAGGGCUCAACCCUGGGAUGCCGUUGGAUACUGUCGGGCUCGAGUCCGGAAGAGGAGAGUGGAAUUCCUGGUGUAGCGGUGAAAUGCGCAGAUAUCAGGAGGAACACCCGUGGCGAAAGCGGCUCUCUGGGACGGUACUGACGCUGAGACGCGAAAGCGUGGGGAGCAAACAGG